CAAUGACUGAGUUAUGGAAACUUCUCCUGUGUGGUAAAACUGGGGACUUUGUCUUCCAAUCAGACCCUGGCAAGCUGACAACAAGCCAAUGUUCUGCAUAUGGCUUAUUGCAAGUCACAGGCUUAAUGUUAUUUUCUGGGAAUUCUUAGCCUCUAUUUGGUGAGAAUUCCGGAACAUGUCAUUUUAUAAUUACAAUUUUUAUCAUUUGGUUCUGUACUUUAAGAAAUAUUCACAGGUCUCACGUAUUUCUUACAAUGUAAGUCUACAAUGAAUUAAAAAUCAGGUUUAUGUCAUCACAGUAAUAGGGAACAAGACGUUAACACUGCCUUUCAAGCUCUCAGGUUUGCUGGUGCUUUGGCUCUGACUUUCCCUCUGACGUACUCAGAGAGUACAAACCAAUGCACAAGCAACAUCUUUAAAAACAACAGAAUUCUGUCCCUGCCCACCUGCUAAGAAACACACCAUAAAUUAGAAAGCUAUUUUCUAUAUUCUAAUCUUUCAGAAUUUGUAAGUGGUCCACUAUAUCUGAUUAUUUAUAGAGUAUAACUUAGAUCUAUCUACUGAUUUAGAUAAUAAGGACAUUUUCCCUUAAACCUAUUGACAUUAGCAACUACUUUCUAGAAUUGCCCUAGAAAUAAAGCUGUUAAUUAUGAUUGGGGAAUAGGCAUUAUUGAACUUAGGGUGUCAUGUUUAGCUAGGCUGUUCCAUACUUAUAUUAAGAAUAGCAGUCCACUGGGGCUGGAGAGGCGGCUCAGUGGUUAAGAGUACUGGCUGUUCUUCCAGAGAAUCUGAGCUGAGCUUCUCGCACACAGGCAAAUGACCAUCUGUAACUCCAGCUCCAAGGACUCUGACACCUUCCAGUCUCCACUGUCACUUAAACACAUGUGGUAUUUACUCACAAAGAUAUACACACAUACACGUAAGUAAAAAUAUCAAGGUCAGCCUGGUGUAUAUUGUGAAUUCUAGGCAGCCACAAUGCAUAGUUGAGAGAAAGUUACAAAAGAAAAGAAAAGAAAAGAAAAGAAAGGAAGGAAGGAAGGAAGGAAGGAAAGAGUUUAAGAUCAUUCUGAGUUGAACCAGACAAACCUGAGCUACAUGAACCCAUGCAUUCAGGAUUUAGGGUUAUAUUUAUUAUUUUUGUUACAGUGCUAAAUAUCCCCUGUAAACACUCUACCACAGAGCUACAGCUACAGCCAUAUUGGUAAUUUUCAUUUUGAACACUUAUAUUUUAAAACAUCUAGGCAGGCCUCGUUAAUCCUAGCAUUUGGGAGACAAAGGCAGGUGGAUCUCUGUGAGUUUGAGGUCAGCCUGGUCUACAGAGCUAGUUCAAGGAAAGUCAAGGCUACACAAAGAAACCCUGUCUCAAAAAAAUAAGAAGUAAAUAAAUUAAAAAAAAAAACAAAACAACCCAAAGCCAGAGAACAUUUCCUAUUUGAGCUAGGCAUGGAGGUACUUGCUUUUAAUAUUAGCAGGUGUAGAGGUAUGCUGAUCUCGGUGAGCUUGAAGACAGCCAGAGUUAUGAAUAGAGAUGCUGUCUCAAAAGACAAAACAAAGCAACAAUGUCUUGUUUCAAAGUGUAGGAAAACAAAUUUUGUCAUGAUUGGUGAGAGACUGUGAUUAUAAUUUAAUUACUGACAAAAUACUAAAAACUCUUUUGGUAUCUG
rnacentral:lncRNA from 1 species